rnacentral:rRNA from 15 species
GGUGGCCGAAAGGGAAGAAGGUUAAAAUUCCUUCACCUGGACGUGGAUAACGAGUGGUAACACAAGCAAAACUGGAGACGUCGGCUGGAGUCCCGGGAAGAGUUCUCUUUUCUUGUUAACAGUUCCGCAGGCCCUGGAAUCGGAUUAUCCGGCGAUAGGGUCUGGUGGCUGGGAAAGCAGCUUAAUCUUUGAGCUGUCCGGUGCUCUCCAGACGGCCCUUGAAAAUCCGGUGGCGUGACUUAUUUACACCCCAGGUCGUACUCAUAACCGCAUCAGGUCUCC